rnacentral:rRNA from 1 species
UACGGAGGAUCCAAGCGUUAUCCGGAUUCAUUGGGUUUAAAGGGUGCGUAGGCGGAAUGAUAAGUCAGUGGUGAAAUCCUGCAGCUUAACUGCAGAACUGCCAUUGAUACUGUCAAUCUUGAGUACAUUUUGAUGUGGGCGGAAUGUGUCAUGUAGCGGUGAAAAUGCUUAGAUAUGACACAGAACACCGAUUGCGAAAGGCAGCUCACAAAAACUGUAAACUGACGCUGAG